rnacentral:misc_RNA from 1 species
AAGAAAGAAGGGAGAUGAAGUUUUUGAAGCCUCCUGUUGAAGUAUUGGCGAUCAUGGCGGGAGAAAGCAAGAAUUGGGAAACAGUGAAUUGAUAUGCUUUCCGGAUAAUAUAGUAUCUUUUUCAUUCCUCCACAAAGCCCAGUCUGCCUGCCCAAGCCCAGCUCACAUUUGAAGAAAGGUUCUGCAUCUGCUCUACGUUUUCUUCUCAUCUUUCUCAUCCGUCCAGCGCCUCAUGCCCGAUCCCGAAUCUCACUCUCGCCCAUCCGACCAUCUAGCUCGUACUCUAGACGCCGACGCCGACUGGUCUUGCCUGCGCCUCCUUUAUUGUGUCCGACAGACGUUGUUUCCUGCUCUCCUCUUCUUCUUGUCGAUUCAAGCUUUUAUAGCUUCCAAAACUGCUGCUUGUGUUGGUGUGCUUCGCCGCCAUUGCCUGUUAUGUUAAGCUGAUAGAAUUUUUGGAGCUAGAAAUAUCGUGAAGUUCCUACAGUUUUAUGUGACUAAUUCGAGAAGCAACUUCAGUUUUAUUACAGUGGGGUUUUUAGCUUCUUAUUCUGAAGCAGGAAUUUCUCAAUUUUCUUUUUAAUUUAAGCACUUGAUUUGUUCAAAUUAAUUCGAUUACUCAAAUGAAUACUUUGUGGGUUAAUGGAAUUAGUGAUAAAAUUCACUUAAGAUUGGUUUCUUGUCAAUUUUUAUACUGAGAACUACCCCGAUUGCACAGCUAGUGCACUACUUCUCCUCUCUUUCUCGUUCUGUUGCUCUGAUCUCAAGUCCAAAUACAAAUUCAAAUCCAAGUGUACUUGGGUGUAUCUAACCCUAAGAUUCGGCUACAAUAUCUGCUGGUAUUUCUUGUUGGUCUCAUUUUGAAGGAAAUUGAAGAAUCAUAGUCCAAUGAAGAUGUAAUAAUGCAGAAAAACACCCAAUGCUGGUGCACUUACCAAUUUUGAAGUUCUCGACUUCCUGAAGGCAAGAGGUGCUUCAAAGGAUUCCUCAAGGGUUAUUGCUCCCGUAGCAUCAUCAGAAUAUAAGGUUUAUGAUUAUUUGGUGGAGACUCCUGCUUCCAGGCAAACGAGAGAGCAAAUCUAUGAAUUUAUGAAGAAGUGUAAGACAUACAAACUUGCAAAAGC